rnacentral:rRNA from 1 species
AUUGAACGCUGGCGGCAGGCCUAACACAUGCAAGUCGAACGAGUGGCAGACGGGUGCGUAAUGUCUGGGAAACUGCCCGAUGGAGGGGGAUAACUACUGGAAACGGUAGCUAAUACCGCAUACCAUCGGAGGUGCCCAGAUGGGAUUAGCGAGUAGGUGGGGUAACGGCUCACCUAGGCGACGAUCCCUAGCUGGUCUGAGAGGAUGACCAGCCACCCUGGAACUGUGUCACGGUCCAGACUCCUACGGGAGGCAGCAGUGGGGAAUAUUGCACAAUUGGCGCAAGCCUGAUGCAGCCCUGCCGCGUGUAUGAAGAAGGCCUUCGGGUUGUAAAGUACUUUCAGCGAGGAGGCGUUCCUCGCAGAAGAAGCACCGGCUAACUCCGUGCCAGCAGCCGCGGUAAUUC